ACACAUGCAAGCUUCAACAAACCAGUGAGAAUGCCCAGAAUUCCCUGAACAGCCAAUAGGAGCAGGCAUCAGGAGCACCAUCUGUUGCCUAAGACGCCUUGCUCAUGCCACACCCACAAGGGACCUCAGCAGUGAAAAGUAUUAAGAAAUAAGCGAAAGCUUGACUUAGUUAUCAUAAACACGGUCGGUAAAUUUCGUGCCAGCCACCGCGGUUAUACGAAAGACCGAAAACAACGACCAGCGGCGUAAAGAGUGAUAAAGGUUUAUUAGUAUUAAAGGAAAACUACAACAAAGUUGUAAAAUACUCCCGACUGUAGGAACCACAACAACAACAUGCCUUUAACACACCCCCCCCACGAAAGCUGAGAAACAAACUGGGAUUAGAUACCCCACUAUGCUCAGCCGUAAACAAAGACAGUAUAGAUACAACACUGUCCGCCAGAGAACUACAAGCAAAAACUAGAAACUCCAAGGACUUGGCGGUGCUCCACAUCAUCCUAGAGGAGCCUGUCCUAUAAUCGAUACUCCACGAUCAACCUCACCAUUUUUUGAAACUCAGCCUAUAUACCGCCGUCACCAGCUUACCUUAUGAAAGAAGCAAAGUAGGCAAAACAGUCACUAACUAGGACGUCAGGUCAAGGUGUAGCAUAUGAAAUGGAAGAGAUGGGCUACACUCUCUGGUCCAGAGAAUGCGGAUAGCACAAUGAAAUAGGUGCUUUAAGAUGGAUUUAGUAGUAAGCUGGGCAAGAGGGCCCGUCUUAAACUAGCCCUGGAGCGCGCACACACCGCCCGUCACCCUCAUCUACAACACCAAACUAAAACAUAUUAACACACACAACCCAAAGAUGAGGCAAGUCGUAACACGGUAAG
rnacentral:ncRNA from 1 species